rnacentral:ncRNA from 2 species
UCAUUCUGCUGGGGGAGUCCAUGAUGCUGGACUGAGAAAAGAACGCGAGUCUUUGACCCUUUGAACCUGAUCUGGAUGAUACCAGCGUAGGGAAGCGGUGUGGCGUAGGC